rnacentral:rRNA from 1 species
UAGGGAAUCUUCCACAAUGGACGCAAGUCUGAUGGAGCAACGCCGCGUGAGUGAAGAAGGUUUUCGGAUCGUAAAGCUCUGUUGUUGGUGAAGAAGGAUAGAGGCAGUAACCGGUCUUUAUUUGACGGUAAUCAACCAGAAAGUCACGGCUAACUACGUGCCAGCAGCCGCGGUAAUACGUAGGUGGCAAGCGUUGUCCGGAUUUAUUGGGCGUAAAGCGAGCGCAGGCGGAAUGAUAAGUCUGAUGUGAAAGCCCACGGCUCAACCGUGGAACUGCAUCGGAAACUGUCAUUCUUGAGUGCAGAAGAGGAGAGUGGAACUCCAUGUGUAGCGGUGGAAUGCGUAGAUAUAUGGAAGAACACCAGUGGCGAAGGCGGCUCUCUGGUCUGCAACUGACGCUGAGGCUCGAAAGCAUGGUAGCGAACAGGAUUAGAUACCCUGGUAGUC